GCAGCGCCGGAGUCAAAGCCAGUUCCCGGCCCAGUCCCGUCCCGCAGCAGCCCGCCUCUUCUUUCCUUUCAACAUGACAGAUGCCGCUGUGUCCUUCGCCAAGGACUUCCUGGCAGGUGGAGUGGCCGCAGCCAUCUCCAAGACGGCGGUACCGCCCAUCGAGCGGGUCAAGCUGCUGCUGCAGGUGCAGCAUGCCAGCAAGCAGAUCACUGCAGAUAAGCAAUACAAAGGCAUUAUAGACUGCGUGGUCCGUAUUCCCAAGGAGCAGGGAGUUCUGUCCUUCUGGCGCGGUAACCUGGCCAAUGUCAUCAGAUACUUCCCCACCCAGGCUCUUAACUUCGCCUUCAAAGAUAAAUACAAGCAGAUCUUCCUGGGUGGUGUGGACAAGAGGACCCAGUUUUGGCGCUACUUUGCAGGGAAUCUGGCAUCGGGUGGUGCCGCAGGGGCCACAUCCCUGUGUUUUGUGUACCCUCUUGAUUUUGCCCGUACCCGUCUAGCAGCUGAUGUGGGUAAAGCUGGAGCUGAAAGGGAAUUCCGAGGCCUCGGUGACUGCCUGGUUAAUAUCUACAAAUCUGAUGUGAUUAAGGGCCUGUACCAAGGCUUUAACGUGUCUGUGCAGGGUAUUAUCAUCUACCGAGCCGCCUACUUCGGUAUCUAUGACACUGCAAAGGGAAUGCUUCCGGAUCCCAAGAACACUCACAUCGUCAUCAGCUGGAUGAUCGCACAGACUGUCACUGCUGUUGCUGGGUUGACUUCCUAUCCAUUUGACACUGUUCGCCGCCGCAUGAUGAUGCGGUCAGGGCGCAAAGGAACUGACAUCAUGUACACAGGCAGGCUUGACUGCUGGAGGAAGAUAGCUCGUGAUGAAGGAGGCAAAGCUUUUUUCAAGGGUGCAUGGUCCAAUGUUCUCAGAGGCAUGUGUUUGUCUUGUAUGAGGAAAUCAAGAAGUACACAUAA